rnacentral:rRNA from 1 species
CCACAUGACUCUCGGCAACGGAUAUCUCGGCUCUCGCAUCGAUGAAGAACGUAGCGAAAUGCGAUACCUGGUGUGAAUUGCAGAAUCCCGCGAACCAUCGAGUAUUUGAACGCAAGUUGCGCCCGAGGCCACUUGGCCGAGGGCACGCCUGCCUGGGCGUCACGC